rnacentral:lncRNA from 1 species
CAAUAAUACAUAAAUAACAUCAGACUACUAGCAGUUAACUGACAUGCCAGCUUCAGACUUCAAUUAAACUGAUUGAAAAAUUAUGUCUUCAUCAUAUGAAUAUCAGGCACAAUCCUCCCUGUGAGGGGUUUAGUAUCAUACCAUCAUAACAUAUAUGAGAAGAACAUAACCCGUGUCAUGCCAACAACUGGUUUUUAAAUAAAUGUGUUUAGUUCCGAUGCAAAGACCCUAUAAGUGAAUCAAUAUUAACGCCAAAAUAUGCAAUCUUUAAUGACCUGACACCAGUAUCGUAAC